rnacentral:rRNA from 1 species
AACUGGAAUUUCUAGUGUAGGAGUGAAAUCCGUAGAUAUUAGAAGGAACACCGAUGGCGUAGGCAGGUUACUGGGCCAUUUCUGACGCUAAGGCACGAAAGCGUGGGGAGCGAACCGGAUUAGAUACCCGGGUAGUCCACGCCGUAAACGAUGGAUACUAGCUGUUGGAGGUAUCGACCCCUUCAGUAGCGAAGCUAACGCGUUAAGUAUCCCGCCUGUGGAGUACGGCCGCAAGGCUAAAACAUAAAGGAAUUGACGGGGACCCGCACAAGCGGUGGAUUAUGUUCUUUAAUUCGAUGCUAACCGAAGAACCUUACCAGGGCUUGACAUCCAGGGAAGGUCUGCGAAAGUAGACUGUGCCUUUUGGAACCCUGUGACAGGUGAUGCAUGGCCGUCGUCAGCUCGUGUCGUGAGAUGUUAGGUUAAGUCCUUCAACGAGCGCAACCCUUGUGAAUAGUUGUAUUUUUCUAUUCAGACUGCCCCGGUAACGGGGAGGAAGGAGGGGAUGAUGUCAGGUCAGUAUUUCCCUUACGUCCUGGGCUAGAAACGUAAUACAAUGGCUAGUACAAUGCGCAGCGAAGCCGCGAGGUGAAGCAAAUCGCAUCAAAGCUAGUCCCAGUUCGGAUUGUAGGCUGAAACUCGCCUGCAUGAAGUCGGAAUCGCUAGUAAUCGCAAAUCAGCAAGUUGCGGUGAAUACGUUCCCGGGUCUUGUACACACCGCCCGUCAAACCAUGAAAGUGACCAACACCCGAAGUCCGAUUCGUCGGCCUAAGGUGGGGGGCAUGAUUGGGGUUAAGUCGUAACAAGGUAUCCGUACCGGAAGGUGCGGAUG